GGAAGAAAAGGUCUUAUCUGGUUCUCAGUUACUUCUUGUAGCUCCUUGUCUCUUCAGGUCAAGAAGUGAUAUUCUGCAUUGAUCGUCAGAAGAUGAUACAGAGGAACAGUGAUGGGAGCACCUCUUGGCCUCUGUUUAUGCUAAUUGCAAGAGGAGAAUGAAGCACGUGAAGUGAUAGGGACAGUACCUUUUCGGAUGAGGACAUGCAGCUUUUUUCCCUACGUAACACAGGUCCCAAGAGCUGAUGGAGCUUUUGCAUUUGAACUGGUACAUCAACUCAGUUAAGAAAGUUACACCUUGACCAAAAUAGCAUGAAGAAUGAGAAAGCUCUUCCUCUAAAGUUUGUAAUGCAUUUAAAUGUCUCUGCCUUUGCUGAGAUCAAGCAGACAUUCUAAACUGGGUAAACAAGAAAAAUAUGAAUUGUCAAUGAAUCAAGUUGGAGACAUUUCAAGCAAAUCUCUGAGAGAAUCAAUAUUAUGUCAAGGUUUAUUCCAUAUCUUCAUUAAUGAUCCAGAAAUACAGCGAGCAUCAGAGAAGACUGACAUAUAAAACAAAGGCAUUGAGAAGGUGUGAUUAACAUUUAAACACAAUAGUUGUUGCCAUAAGAAAUAUGUCAAGUUGCUGGAUGAUCCUCACCAGUUUUUCUGAUAGAGCUCUUCCUUAUGGAGCAAAAGAUGCUGGAGCACUUCAUUUCCUUGAGAAGAACUGCUGUGCCCGGAAACCCAAACAACGAGGCUGCGCCACAGAAACUGUCUCAUGUUCUUUCUGCUUAAGCUCUGAUGAUAUUGAUGACUUAUGACUCAAAGGGAACUAAAAGAAAAGCCUUUUCAUAUGUUGGAUUUGGCCACAAAGGAGGUGAAGGGUGUUUCCUUUCAGGCUACUGCUGCAGCCAGCAAAGAGGUACCAUGCAGCCCUGCUGUGUGCCCCUGCUUAAUCAGGCUAUAUUUUCAGCUUGAAGCUACUUCUAGCCAUAAAUUCAAGAACAUUAAGUCACCAGCUUCCGUGACAGCCCUGAGCCACCACUGAACUUCUCCAGCCACUUCACGUGAUGCUGCAGUCAGUACCUGGCAGCUUGGAGAACUAUUGCAAGGCAAGAUGAAGAGCCAGAGUUACCUGUCAAAAGAAUCCUAGAGAAUAAUUUAGCAUGGAAAAUGGAAAGAGGGAUGAUUCUGAAACUCAGGAAAAGAUAGAGACACGCAUAAGGCCAAGAGGCUGAGGAAGGGCAGCCGCCCUAAAGGAGAAUGAGGAAAAACUGGACUAGGAGUGAAGAGCAACUGUUCUGGAGCUUGAGGAAGAUCUUGGAGUGGGGCAUGUUAACCCAUGGUUAUACCAUGAGAUAGAGUGGUGGAUUUCCAGCAUUGCAGACACCAAAGGCAGGACAGGUGCUACAGUGCUAUUGGGGUUCAUUAGGUGCAAGAUGUUGUCACAUACUACUGCCUUAAUCAAGGGAGCUCUGACUCAGUAGAUGAAAAGGAAAGCACAAGCAGGUAAAGUGCAAUGUGUAAAUGAAGAUACUUUAGUGCACAGGCCUGGAAGAACUGACCAUUGAAAAGCUCCAAGCUGUUUGCAGAAAUACAUGUGACCUCACAAGUCCAAACACCAUGAGUAACAUCUGGAUAGAUAUGCUGCAGGUCACCCAUGAGGAGGUCAGGUGCAGAGGAUAUGAGUGGAUUUGAGGGCAGUCUGCUCACAGCCAUCCUUCAACCUCUCAGAUUGCUCCUUGCAGCAUGUGUUCGUUUGCCAUCAUCUCUUAUCUACUCAUGUAACCCCACUGAGUCUCUGAAAUGCUUCACAUUUUUCUUUGAUUUUGCCUAUGUGAUAGAACUCUGUAUUAUCUGCAAAAAUCUAUCACCUCACCAUUGGUGUACUUUUACCAAACGACUGGUUAAUUCAUCAGGCAACACCACUUCCAGUGUGCCCCAAUAGGACUUCUGCAGUGCUGAAAACUAUGCAUGAACCAUCAUUGCUUUGUUUCCAGCCUCUUAGCAAGUUUCCUAUCCAGGACAGUCAUUUACCUCUGACCCUAUGAGCCUCUGGUUUCCAAAACAGGAUCUUACGGGAGACUUUUAUCAAAGUUCUUUUGAGUCAGUAAUUAUAGUUGGUAGUUCUCCUUUCUCCAGUGUCUUGUGAUGGCUCAAAAACAAUUAUCCGAGACUAAAAAGGUAAGGUUUUUCACAACAGAAAUAGGGAUGGUUAGUCUUUGUAUGUCAGUGCUAUUUUUGUUUCAAGCUAUGUAUAUGGCAGUUCAAAGCAAGCUCAUUAAAGUAAAAUUUCAGAUUUCAUCUCUA